rnacentral:rRNA from 1 species
UUCCGUAGGUGAACCUGCGGAAGGAUCAUUCACACGAAUGCUUUCCAAUCCACUCCACGUGCAUUACCUUUGUGGGGGUCUCGUCUGGCUGGCGAUCGCAUCAACGGCCUUUCGAGCUCGCCCCGAGGCCGGCAGUGGCGGCUCGGAGCUGCGGCCACCGUUCCUAUCCCUGCCGGCGGGUUGUCUCUUCACUCAGUCUUCACACUGUUUCUUCAACUUUGACAAACUCAUCACAACUUUCAGCGAUGGAUGCCUCGGCUCGAACAACGAUGAAGGGCGCAGCGAAAUGCGAUAAGCACUGUGAGUUGCAGAAUUCCGUGAAUCAAUAGAACCCUGAACGCAUCCUGCACUUUCGGGAUAUCCCUGAAAGUAUGCCUGCUUCAGAGUCUCCACUGUAUCCUGCACCGCCCCUCGCGGGGUGCGCGUGCGUCUCUGCGCGCCGGUGCCGCCUCUCCCUCGCCGCUCGCGGCGAGAGCAGAGCCACCGACGCGUCCAGUGUAACGGCUGGCCCUCGCUCGCCUCCAAAAGGUGAUGCCUCGCGGCUUAUCCUCUGCGGCGUCGAGCUUGGGACUCCUAUCCAGCCCCCCCUCUUCUGCGGGAGCUCGCCUCCCCUCCCAAGACAUGAAGUUAGGCAAGGUUACCCGCUGAAUUUAAGCAUAUCA